UACGAAGGGGGCUAGCGUUGCUCGGAAUUACUGGGCGUAAAGCGCACGUAGGCGGCUCUUUAAGUCGGGGGUGAAAUCCUGGAGCUCAACUCCAGAACUGCCUUCGAUACUGUAGAGCUUGAGUUCGGGAGAGGUGAGUGGAACUGCGAGUGUAGAGGUGAAAUUCGUAGAUAUUCGGAAGAACACCAGUGGCGAAGGCGACUUGCUGGACGAUUGUUGACGCUGAGGUGCGAAAGCGUGGGGAGCAAACAGG
rnacentral:rRNA from 1 species